rnacentral:rRNA from 1 species
UGGGGAAUAUUGGACAAUGGGGGGAACCCUGAUCCAGCGAUGCCGCGUGUGUGAAGAAGGCCUGAGGGUUGUAAAGCACUUUCGGUGGGGAGGAGAGAUGGCAUGUUAAGAGCUAGCUAUUGAGACGUUACCCACAGAAGAAGCACCGGCUAACUCCGUGCCAGCAGCCGCGGUAAUACGGGGGGUGCGAGCGUUAAUCGGAAUUAUUGGGCGUAAAGGGUGCGUAGGUUGUUGGAUAAGUUAUCUGUAAAAGUCCUGGGCUUAACCUGGGGAUGAGAGAUAAGACUGUUCGACUAGAGUAUGGGAGAGGGUAGUGGAAUUUCCGGUGUAGCGGUGAAAUGCGUAGAGAUCGGAAGGAACACCGGUGGCGAAGGCGGCUACCUGGCCUAAUACUGACACUGAGGCACGAAAGCGUGGGGAGCAAACA